CUCUUUGGCUUCCUUUUGUUGGCUGUGACAUUGGUGAAUUUGUGUUUUAUGAAUAAAUAUAGCAGGCGUAUAGCAAGGUUUUGCACAAUAUUACUUGAGUUCCUUGUUUUCUGCUAGAAACCCAAAACAAAAUGCCGGAAAAUGUCCACCAGUGAAAUUUUUACUGAUUCAGACAUAUUUGAAAAACACCGAAGGAAAAAAACAGGCAUUUAAUAGUCAGCAAAUGUCAUUAAGUGAGCAGGUUUCUUGUAUUAUGGUCACAAAAUUGUAUUGAAGCAACUGAUUGCUUGCUGUUUCGAGCUAGACAUAUGUGGCACCACCUAUGACGUGGUAUGCAUACAAGGCAAAAAGCAUCUGUUCCCAGUAUGCAGUCACACAGGAGUUAGCUAUAUUAGAGCCUGGUAGUUAAAAUCAAAGUUUGCACAAAAGAGAAGCUGCUCCUGUGCGUUGUAGCUAUGGAUGUCACAACGAAAACAUGAACAGCACUGCAAAGGUACCAAAGUUUCAGAGGGCUUUACUGAAACGUCGUUGAUGUCACCUAUUUUUGGACUUGUACGGUAGUCGAAAGCACAACAGCCCAGAGGUCUACCCAUUUGACCAUGGACUACCUAGUGACCCAAGUAGAUGGCAAGGAGAACAUGCCAAGCCACCACUGGAAGCGCACAACGCAGCAAGAAAAAAGAAAAAGAAAGAAGGACGCGGACCUCAUGAUGUAAACAUGGUGUGGCCACCCAACUCUGGUAUGGGAGAAGGCAAAGAGAAGGAAUGUGG